GACGAACGCUGGCGGUGUGCUUAACACAUGCAAGUCGAACGGUAAGGCCCUUUCGGGGGUACACGAGUGGCGAACGGGUGAGUAACACGUGAAUAACCUGCCCUCAUCUCUGGGAUAACAGUCGGAAACGGUUGCUAAUACUGGAUAUGAGCUUGCAAGGCAUCUUGUGGGUUGGAAAGAUAUUUUUUGGUUGGGGAUGGACUCGCGGCCUAUCAGCUUGUUGGUGAGGUAGUGGCUCACCAAGGCUUCGACGGGUAGCCGGCCUGAGAGGGCGACCGGCCACAUUGGGACUGAGAUACGGCCCAGACUCCUACGGGAGGCAGCAGUGGGGAAUAUUGCACAAUGGACGGAAGUCUGAUGCAGCAACGCCGCGUGCGGGAUGACGGCCUUUCGGGUUGUAAAACCCGCUUUCAAAUUGUGACG
rnacentral:rRNA from 2 species